GAUGAACGCUGGCGGUCUGCUUAACACAUGCAAGUCGAACGGGCUCUUUCGGGGGCUAGUGGCGGACGGGUGAGUAACGCGUGAGAAUCUGCCCUUUGGAGGGGGAUAACGGUUGGAAACGACCGCUAAUACCCCAUGUGCCGAGAGGGAAAAAGUAAUUCGCCAAGGGAUGGGCUCGCUUCGGAUUAGCUAGUUGGUGGGGUAAGAGCCCACCAAGGCGACGAUCCGUAGCUGGUCUGAGAGGAUGACCAGCCACACUGGGACUGAGACACGGCCCAGACUCCUACGGGAGGCAGCAGUGGGGAAAUUGCCGCAAUGGGCGCAAGCCUGACGGAGCAAGACCGCGUGAGGGAAGACGGUCUGUGGAUUGUAAACCUCUUUUGACAGGGAAGAAGUACGGACGGUACUUGUCGAAUCAGCCUCGGCUAACUCCGG
rnacentral:rRNA from 1 species